rnacentral:rRNA from 1 species
UGGGGAAUCUUAGACAAUGGGGGAAACCCUGAUCUAGCCAUGCCGCGUGAGUGAUGAAGGCCCUAGGGUCGUAAAGCUCUUUCGCCAGGGAUGAUAAUGACAGUACCUGGUAAAGAAACCCCGGCUAACUCCGUGCCAGCAGCCGCGGUAAUACGGAGGGGGUUAGCGUUGUUCGGAAUUACUGGGCGUAAAGCGCACGUAGGCGGAUCAGAAAGUUGGGGGUGAAAUCCCAGGGCUCAACCCUGGAACUGCCUCCAAAACUACUGGUCUAGAGUUCGAGAGAGGUGAGUGGAAUUCCGAGUGUAGAGGUGAAAUUCGUAGAUAUUCGGAAGAACACCAGUGGCGAAGGCGGCUCACUGGCUCGAUACUGACGCUGAGGUGCGAAAGCGUGGGGAGCAAACA